AGGAAGUAAAAGUCGUAACAAGGUUUCCGUAGGUGAACCUGCGGAAGGAUCAUUAUUGAAUMAACAUGGCAAAGUUGUYGCUGGUCUCAGCAAUGGGACAUGUGCACRCUUUGUUCAUCCACCUUCACACCCCUGUGCACUUCUCAUGAGUUGGGUUGCGCUUGAAAUAUAGCAAGACUCCUCUCAUGUGUUUUAAUCACAUACUACAAGUUUUAGAAUGUUACAAUCAUGCGUCAAUGCAUAUAAUACAACUUUCAGCAACGGAUCUCUUGGCUCUCGCAUCGAUGAAGAACGCAGCGAAAUGCGAUAAGUAAUGUGAAUUGCAGAAUUCAGUGAAUCAUCGAAUCUUUGAACGCACCUUGCGCUCCUUGGUAUUCCGAGGAGCAUGCCUGUUUGAGUGUCAUGGUAUUCUCAACCCUCUUGCAUUUUUUUUUAAAGAUGCAGUUGGGAUUGGACUUGGAGGUUUUUGCUGGUGGUCAGACAUUUUUAAUGUAUGAACAUGGGCUCCUCUGAAAAGCAUUAGCUGGAAUAUUACCGAGCAUGAUUCAAUGUGAUAAUUGUCUACGUUGCUUCAACUUGGUAUUAAACGUGUUCUAGCUUCUAACUGUCCUUUAUGGACAAUAUAUCUGAACAUCUGACCUCAAAUCAGGUAGGACUACCCGCUGAACUUAAGCAUAUCAAUAAGCGGAGGAAAAGAAACUAACAAGGAUUCCCCUAGUAACUGCGAGUGAAGCGGGAAAAGCUCAAAUUUAAAAUCUGGCAGCUUUGGCUGUCCGAGUUGUAGUCUGGAGA
rnacentral:rRNA from 1 species